rnacentral:precursor_RNA from 1 species
GAUUCUUGGCCCCUGCUCCCAGAAGUUCUGGUUCAGUAGGUCUGGGACAGAGCCCAGGAGCCU